GAAGCUUCACCUAAAUAUGCCAAACACAUAAAUCACCAACAAAAUCCACCUUAAACACCUUCCAUCUCCUUAGAUUCAAGAAGAUCCAUGGAGAUUCAAUCUUGAAGUUAGUGAGAGAAAAUUUGAUUUUUGGUGUAAACUUGGACACGAGCAGAGCAGGGAAGUAAGUAACUCCGCUUUGACGGGAGUUUUUGAGUAAGGUCUUCAGGCUAAGCGAGGAGUGAGAUUGGUCUGGUGCUGGUGGGGGAUCGUUAGAUGACGUAUUUACUUUAUCGUAUUUCCUUUUUAUCGAUAAAGUCUUGAUGUGAAGUUACUUUGAAUAUGAAUCAAGUAAUAUACUCA